UAAAUUUAAUCGGGCUGUCCGUAUACAUAAUAAUAUACACUAUAAAACCCCUCGGCUAGCUUCCUACCCAUCGCCACCCCCCUCCCCUGGACCGAUUGCGUCGCCAAAUAUUCGAAAAUUAAUUUUUGUCAAUGCGCGAGUGCGUGUAGCGCUCGCGCGAUAUAUAGGAAUAAUAAAAAACGAGAUUUUGAUUUAUUUUCGGCAACUGGACAAUGUGAAUAAUUAUUAGAAAAACACAUUUGUCGACGACGACGGUGAACGAAUAUAUGAAAUCGUUUGGUGGGCAGAUAAUAAUACGCAGAUUCGUUUCGCU